rnacentral:rRNA from 2 species
GCGAGAAAACUUUGCAAUGUGCGAAAGCACGACAAGGUUAAUCCGAGUGGUUCCUGCUAAAGGAAUCUUUUGUUAGUUGUAACACCACUGAUGAAUAAGAGGUGGGCAAGUUCUGGUGUCAGCCGCCGCGGUAAAACCAGCACCUCAAGUGGUCAGGAGGAUUAUUGGGCCUAAAGCAUCCGUAGCCGGCUUUGUUAGUUUUCGGUUAAAUCUAUAUGCUUAACAUAUGGGCUGCCGGGAAUACUGCAAAGCUAGGGAGUGGGAGAGGUAGACGGUACUCCGUAGGAAGGGGUAAAAUCCUUUGAUCUAUGGAUGACCACCUGUGGCGAAGGCGGUCUACCAGAACACGUCCGACGGUGAGGGAUGAAAGCUGGGGGAGCAAACCGG